GUGCUCACUUGGGCAGCACACAUACUAAAAUUGGAAUGAUAUGGAGAUUAAGAUGGCCCCUGCACAGGGAUGAUAGGAAAGUUCAUGAAGCAUUCCAUGUUUUG